UUUUACAGCACAAAACAGCACAAACGAAGCACAAACGAUUGACACCGUUUUUGUCCAUUUUGGAGCCAUUUUAAGCGUCACGGGGGGCUGGGUGACCCCUGGUUGACCUAUAAAAGAAUCGUGAAUAUCUCGAAAACUAAAGCAGCACAAACGAAAAUUUUUACAGCACAAAACAGCACAAACGAAGCACAAACGAUUGACACAGUUUUUAUCCAUUUUUGUGCAAUUUUAAGCUUAA